AAAUAUCACAACAAGAAUUUAACAUCUUAGAAAAUUUUGAAAUAAAUUUGUAGAUUUAGAGAAGACUUAUGGCAAAGAAUGAGAUGAAAAUUAUCGGAGUUGUGAUUAUGACUAUGAUUCUGUUUGGUUUCUCACAAGCUAAUUAUAAUCCUUCAUUUGAGAAAAUUGGACUAAAUCAUGUGUCUGAUGGAAUCGUUUGUCGACUUAGAUGCGAGAAUAAAUGUAAAAAAUUCCUAAUAAUUCCGCCCGGACUCAUUUUCUAUCUGAUAUGUUAUCAUACAUGUUAUGCAAAUUGCCAUGACAUGCCCAUUGAUGCCGCUCAUGAUUGUAUCACUAGUUGUGGCUUGACCAAGCCGGUUGACUUCAACAAUGAUGCUCCUGGUCUUGCAACCGACGGGGUGAAUUCUUGUUUAGUAAAGUGUUACAAGAAGUAAUAUUUUAAUACAAAAAUAUUCUAGAACAUGUUGUUAUGAGAAAUAAUGCUGAUUUAUCAUUGCAAUAAACAAAUCUUAAUCAAUGAGACAUAUUUAGUUUUUAUCUUUUGUU